CCUACGGGAGGCAGCAGUGGGGAAUUUUGGACAAUGGGCGCAAGCCUGAUCCAGCCAUUCCGCGUGCAGGAUGAAGGCCCUCGGGUUGUAAACUGCUUUUGUACGGAACGAAAAGGCGUGCUUUAAUACAGCGGGCUGAUGACGGUACCGUAAGAAUAAGCACCGGCUAACUACGUGCCAGCAGCCGCGGUAAUACGUAGGGUGCGAGCGUUAAUCGGAAUUACUGGGCGUAAAGCGUGCGCAGGCGGUUAUGUAAGACAGAUGUGAAAUCCCCGGGCUUAACCUGGGAACUGCAUUUGUGACUGCAUGGCUGGAGUGCGGCAGAGGGGGAUGGAAUUCCGCGUGUAGCAGUGAAAUGCGUAGAUAUGCGGAGGAACACCGAUGGCGAAGGCAAUCCCCUGGGCCUGCACUGACGCUCAUGCACGAAAGCGUGGGGAGCAAACAGGAUUAGAUACCCUGGUAGUCCACGCCCUAAACGAUGUCAACUGGUUGUUGGUCCUUCACUGGAUCAGUAACGAAGCUAACGCGUGAAGUUGACCGCCUGGG
rnacentral:rRNA from 1 species